UACGUAGGGUGCAAGCGUUAAUCGGAAUUACUGGGCGUAAAGCGUGCGCAGGCGGUUUUUUAAGUCAGGUGUGAAAUCCCCGGGCUUAACCUGGGAACUGCGUUUGAAACUACAAGGCUAGAGUGUGGCAGAGGGGGGUGGAAUUCCACGUGUAGCAGUGAAAUGCGUAGAUAUGCGGAGGAACACCGAUGGCGAAGGCAAUCCCCUGGACCUGUACUGACGCUCAUGCACGAAAGCGUGGGGAGCAAACAGG
rnacentral:rRNA from 1 species